AGUCUCUUUCACCGUCGAAUCAGAUGGAAUCACUACUAAGCAACUCCACGAGUUGGGCUUUCUUCAUCUUUGAAAACCCUUUUAGUCCCCUUGAUUUCGCUAUGCCUCUCAGUUCCAUCAACUUCAAUGUACUCAAGUCUUUAACAGGUUCUUCCUCUUCUUCAUCAGCAUCAUCCAGAGACUCCUCCUCCUCAUCAUCUGAUAACGCAUCUAAAGUAACAUUACCAUCCUCCUCUUGAUAAAAUGAUGAUGCGUCUAGCUGCAGCUCAGAUUCUGGUUCGAGAAUAGCUGUCACAGGCUCAGGUUCGUCUUCAGGUUCAUCACGCGGCUCUGCUGUAUCCUUCUUAUGGGUCCAAGUCACGCUGUAACUCGACGCCUCAUCAAAAGUUGCCUCAUUAGAAUAAGUCGGAGGAGGCGAUUCAAAUCUUGGUACUGGCGACUUUCUUCUGAAGCUUGACGCUGUCCUGGUAAAGGAUGAUGAUGCAUUAUGAUCUUUGGUCCAUGACUUGACAAGGUUUCCUCCUCCGCUGCGAUCUUGCCUCCUGUCCACAUGAUCUCCUUGUACCGAAUUGUCUCCAUGGCUGUUAAAAUUGUUAACUUUCUUGCUCUGCUCUCCCGAGUGCUUUCUUAGUAACUUAAGAAGAGAGUCAACAGUUUCACUUUCUUUACCCCGUCCUUUAGAAGCUUCUUCUUCUUCUUCUUGUGCCUUUUUAUCUUCCAUCUUGGUGGCUGCUCGAGCUCGGAGCUGAGCUUGAACUUUUCGGAAAAGCUCCACUAUCUCUUUCUCUCUAGGCCCAGGGGAUGAAGUAGCUUGGAACUUGGGGGAGUUAGACAGAGAGAGCAAAGACCCGUUUCUUGAAGACAACAUAUCAGAGUUAUCACCAUCAAAACCGUCUCCAUCUACGCUUUGCCUGUUUCUUCCAUGCUUAUUAAGCCUUGAGAAAUCAGGGUUUCUCCUGUAGCCACCAGAACUCGCUUGACAAACAAAAGAACUACUAUCUGGGGAACACUUCAGAGAUCCAUUACGUUUGUGAUCGAGACAAGAAGAAAAAGGUAAUGUAGCAGGUGUUCUUCUAUAAACAGCAGGGUUAUAAAAGCAUCUGCUGUCUGAAACUGAAACUGAGAGUGUGUAACCUGUGUUACAACAGCAAUGAAUAAAAAUUAUUUAUUUAUUUUGACAAAAGGGCUAGCAAUGAAGAAUUGUUACAAGUAAUAUUCCUACAGAAGCAUGUAAACAGUCUACACGAACACUGUCUAUUUUGUCUAUUUAACAAUCACACAGAAGCAUUUCGUCGAACAACUGGUGGACAUUUAGGAAAAAAUCUAACCGAUAACACAAAGAGAGACAUAACUUAACAACUAUCAACGACAUGUAAGAGACACAUAUAUAGGGUGCUAAAGUCGUACCAGGGACGUAGUUAGAGUUCAAACUGAAAGUUCCCGACAUCGCCGCCAAGAACAGCUUCGGAGCGAGAGCGAGAGAGAGAGAGAGAGAUUAAGCUUCCUCUUCUUCUACCCUCCUCUUCUUGGGCUUUAGAUUAUUUCAAAUUCCUAAAUGGGCUUUGUAAGUUUGGUUUUACAAAUUAGAUAUUCCACAAUCGGUUAAGAGAUUUUUCCAAACCGAGUUUCUUACCUUAACAGAACCGACUAAAUAAACCAAUCAAAAUCUCUUAACCAAAACCAAAAACAGAAUUAACAAAUGUCUUCUUAUUCGGUUCGGUUUAAAAACCAUGGUUUUGGAUUUCUCUGUUUCAUUAUAGAGGAAGAAGCUAACGAAGAGCUUUCUUCAACACUCUUCUCAACAAGGAUCUGUUUGAAAGCUUAAGAACCAAUGGGCCAAACAUUCGCCACAAACAUCUCUGACACUCCAAUGGCAUCUCUAGAUUGGAGUUUCGAACCAGCGGAAACAAAGGGGAUACAAAUGCAAACAAGGUUCCUUUGUUUAUUACUAAGCCUUGUGGUCUUUAGCCAAUUCAUCCACGUCAAGUUCUACCGCCAAGAGUGGAGAAUCCUCUUCCAUGGCAAGCUCACUGAUACACAGAUAAUAUUCUUUUGUGCUUAGUAAGAUAAAAAAAUAACAGAGGAUGGUAUCUUCUCUUUUACCUGUUACUAACUGGACCAUGAUCAACGGCUGUCCUCAGACAAUAUAUAGCUCUUCCUACUAUGUCCGCCAUUGAGACCGGACCAAAUGUUCGACUAUCGUAUGCUUCCUAUCAAACACCAUUGGGUGGACAAAGUUAACAGACCAAAUUAUACAGAGAUUCAGUUUUUUUUUUUCUUUCGUAUGCAAUAGUGUACCUUAGAUUUCAUCUCUUGGUUCUCAGCAACGACCCAGCACUGAUCCUUUUCGAGAACAAAAGGCUCCUCCUUCUCAUCAAUAGAUACCAUUUCGGAUCCUUCUAAAGCUGCCAGUCUUCUCACUAGAAACUUAUCAGUUUCAUUCGGGUCCUUCAACACAACAGCAUCUCCAACGAAAACAUACCUAGACAACAAAAAAACAAUGAAAUCCAAAUGGGCAUCACUAGUAAUCUUUACACACUGAAACUAGCCAGAGGCUGCAAACUAAAAGGAUUCAAUUGGUGUUUGGAUUCAACAAUAUCUCAUCACAGUAAGUAGACAUACCUACUAUACAAUUUAUCAUAAGUAGACAUUUGACCCUUAAUGCCUAGAAACAUACCUUGUAUCGACAACAGGUAGCUUACGGACAAGUAGUGUGUUGUCAUGAGCUCCCAUGGUUGGGGACAUCUCUUGUCCUUUACCAGAGUGCAAGUAUGUUAUCCUUCCAUAGAGUAGAUUCUUCAGGACAUUUUCAGUUUACUAAUGUAGACUAUCAAAUAGGUCUACUAUUUGGGUUAGUUUUUGCAAUUGAAAAUUUUACGGGUUACUUUCUAUAUUUGUAAAAAAGUUGUGAUUUUAUACAUGUAGACUUCCAUUUCAGUCUACACUUCAAAAUAGUUAGUUUUUUCAAUUGACCAAAAUUCACCCAUAAUUUGACUUUCGGAAAUAGACUUCAUAUGCAGUCUACAUUUUUGAUUUUUUUAAAAGAGGUUAAUUUUGCAAUUGACCAAGUUUGACUUUCUACGAGUAAAUGAAAACGGACAUCUACAUAUUUUUAGACUUCGUUUGAAGUCUACUCUCAAAUUCGACGGGUUAGUUUUGCAUUUGACCAAAAUAAAAUAGUAGACUUCACAUGUAGUCUACUUUUUUUUCUAAGUUAAGAAGACUGCAAAUGAAGUCUUCAGUUUAAUAAAAUUUUAAUUAAUUUUUAAACUUUUUAGUCAAACACAAAAGUAACCUAUUCAACGAAGUCAAAGUUUUGAUCAAAUGCAAAACUGACAUUAUGCAAACUUCUCUGGCAGUCUACACUUCGUAGACUUCCGUUGAAGUUCGGUCAAAUGCAAAACUAACCUCUUUUACAUAGACGUCUUAGUAAGUCCACCUAAAUUUUUGUUUUUGUUGUCAAAGAUAAAGACGAAGACUGCCGGGGAAGUCUGCGGUACAAAAAAAAAUUCGUUUGGUCAAAUGCAAAACUGACAUGUGCGUUGACAAGUAGACUGUAUCGUACGUCUGCAUAUAGGCGUAGACAUACAAAACAAUCUACUAUCUCGACACAGAUCUGAAAAAUGAUGAAAACCAUGUAAAUAAUAAUCUUUUUCUGGUGUAAAGCUCGUUUCCAACCUUCUCAACCGUCCAAACUCCAAAUAUGAACAAAAAGAACCGCCUUUAACAAUUCACUAAUGAAAAAACUUUAAAAUAUGAAGUUUGUGUUUAUGAAAAUGAAAGCUAUGAGAGUUUUUUAGAUGGAAAUGUAGAAGAAAUGAGAGGAAAUGAAGAUUUGUUGGUUUAGAAUGAAAAAAGUGGUUAAAAAUUGAAUUCUAGAGUUUUAAGAGCUCAAAAAUGGUGGUUCAUGAUGGUUGGAAAAAUUGAUGAUAGUGGCAUUAUUGUAAAUAAGAAGAAAUGGUGUGGGUGUAUUUGUUUUUUUUUUGUGAAUUCGAAAUUAAUAAAAAACUAAAUAAUAAUGUCAAUUUUGUAAAUAAUUCAAAAACAUAGGGAUAAUAUAGAAAAUUCAUUGAUGAAUAGUAAUGACAAAAAAAGAGGUUAGUUUUGGGUUUGACUUGAAAAUAUGGGUUGGUUUUGAAAAACUCCCUUUAAAAUUGGGCUUAUUUGCCAACUAGCCAUAUUUUAACAACAAAUUAAGAAUAUAGCAAUGAUUUUGAUAUUAUAAUAUCUUCUAACAUUUGUGCAAUAUUUUCUCGGUUUUGUCUUUCUUUUGAUCCGGUUGCCAAUAAUAAAAGAAAAAAAUUGUGAUCGACAAAUAUAUGGUGAAAAUUACAGUGGAAGGAGAAUGGUUACAAUGAAAACAACGUUGAUGAUUAUUGUGGCAGUGAUGGCGGUGAUUACAGUAGAAGUUAUUACAUAUGAAACAUAUGUCGUUAAUCCAAAAGAAACAGUCAUCUUUCAAACAAAGAUUACUACGAUGGUUGUCAUCUUAUAACUGCGAUGAUUGGAGAAAGAGACAAAGUUACAGAGGAAGAUAUCAGAGUAAAUAGAAUAGAACAUUCUAAAUGAUAUAGUUCAUAUUAAUGGAAUUUUAAAAUAGUUUAAUAAUUGUGGAGGCAACGCUUAUUCCAAUAUCAACCCAUAUUUUCCAUAAACUAAAUCUAAAACACUAAUCAGUAAAACCUAAAAAAAAAUAUAAACCCUAACCCAAAUAUCAAAAACCAACUCAAAUAUUAAAAUAUGCAAAUAUAAUAGUAACCAAUUAAUAGCAUAGUACAUAUUGUUCAAAUUUUAAAUUGUCUAUGAUUAUAGGGAAUGAGGUAAUGCUUACCCCAAUAACUCAAACCUUCUAUAAAUUAAGAGUAAAAACACUAAUCACUAAACACUUAAAAGAAAUAUAAAUCCUAACCCAAAUAUCAAAUAUGGACAUAAUACAUAAUAUGAAACAUUACCAAAAUAGAGUAGUAACAAACAAAAUAACAUAGUACGUAUUAAUGUUUACAUUUUGAAAUGUCUAUUAUUACAGAGAAAGAGGUAAAGCUUACCCUAAAUUAACCCAAACCUUCCAUAAACUAAACCAAAAACACUAAUCACUAAACCCUAAAAAGAAAUAUAAACCUUAACCCAAAUAUUAAAAUAUGCACAUAGUACAUAAUAUGAACAAUUAUUAAAAUAGAAUAGUAACAAACGAUAUAGCGUAGUACGUUCAAAUAACAUAGUACAACCGAGAACUUACGGGACAAACAAGGACGCUUCGACCGUAACGUCGCCAUGGUCCGUAGAUUUUAGAAGCAGAGACGAGAUAUGUAGCAAAGAGUAUGGAUUAUUAGGAGGUGGUUGUGGUGACUAUGGUGAUGGUGGCUCAAUGAUGAAUGUUAGUAUGAACGAAGAGAUCAUGAUUAUGAAAAAAAUGAUAUUGAUUAUAAAAAAAGUGGUGAUUAAGGAGACGAUAAAUACAAAACACAGUGUGGAGUUUGUGAUGAUCGUAUUUGUAAUGUUGACGGAAGGUAAAGUGGUGGAGAUGGAAGAAGAAGGGUGGUAGUUGAGAAGAAGAAGAAGAAUAUAUUUUUCUCUUUCAUUAACCGGAAACUAAAGGCAAUAUAGUAUAUAUUUCACAAAUAAUAGAGGUACUUUUUUUUGGUUAGAUAUUUAAUGGAAAAAUUGGCAAUACAGAACAACUAAACUAAAGUAUUGUCCCCUUAGAAUAAAAUCAAGUUUUGUUACUUUUGGACAUUCACUACUCUUUUUGUAUAUAAAAAUUCAUAUCAAUUUUUUAGAAUGCAAAAAAAUCUGGAAAAUUGUAUAUUUGAUGUAGAUAAGCAACUGCAUAUAAGAAAAAUAAUCUGGAUUCAAAAAAUGUUUGAAUAGUAAUUUCAAAAAUGGGGUAAAGGUGUUAGAAAAUCAGAUCUACCAUCUACGGAGGUUUAGAAUAUAUAAUCUAACAAAGAUAAAGUGAUCUACCAAUCGUAGAAUGCACAAUACAUCGAAAACAUUAACAACUACUAGGGAAGAAUAUAAAAAAAAUCCUCAUUCCCUCUAUGCUCUACAUAACUGGUAGAUUUAAUGCGCUACAGAAAUUAAUUAAUCUACUAUGGUAUGAAAUGCAUUAUUCGAAUUAUCUUUUUGUCUACAUUGGUGGUAUACAAUAUUCUGCCAGACCUUCUAAUUUCCAAACAGAUAGAAUGCAAAUUCUACCUAAUAAAAUUACAAAAUCCGAAAAUCUAGCAAAAAACGGUCAGAGUAUUCAGUAAAUCUUUUAAAUGUUUUGUUAUUUCCUUUUUUAAUUUUUUUUUUCUAAAAUCUAGUCUUCUUCUUCAACAUAGCACGAUUUCUGAAAUUAAACGUGGAAGUUGUUCUUCAAUCGAUGGUUCUCAAAGAGGAAAGACGACAGAAGGAGGACGACGGAGAGACGUGACGACGAUAUCGUCGUCUCCGGCGAACAUAGACGGCCAAGAGAAAGAAAGUGUCGACGGCGACGAAAUGAAAUCGCCUCUGCUUUUAGAAACGGGCGUCGGAGACGAAGAAAGUUGUGUUUUUUUACUGCUUAUGUUUCGUUUUUACUUCUUACUAUUAAUUGUAUUUUACUAAAAAAGGACAAAACAUGUUUUUCAUAUUUUUGUUCUAAUGAGACAAAGAUUGAGUUUUUUAUUCUAAGGAGACAAAAGUAUACUUCUUUUGUUUCUUAUCGGCAAAAAUUCCAUAUUUAAUUAUGGUUUUUUUUGUAGCUAUACAAUCCAAUUUCCUCAAUAGAUUUGGAGUUAUCAAGGUGGUGGUAUAACGUACACUUUUUUUUUUUUGGAUAACAUUGGUGUGAUUCCAAAGGUUUGCUAUAGCAUACACUUAGGUUGAUGUAUAUGUUAGUAUGUGAUACUCAUGCUCCAAUAUGUAUAUGAAAUGAAUUUACAAAGUUAUAUGUAAAUGGCCAAAAUAUGAUAUUGCAUGAGUUUUUAACGUGAUGAUUUUGAAAAAGAAAACAUAACCUAAAAAGCACCAUUAUCAGUGAUCCAGCGAUGACUCCACUAUAGCAAUUGUAUGAUCACCAUUAACUGAAUUGAACCAGUAAUGAUUCUUUAUAGAACAUAAUUAAUAUUAUUGAUUUUAAAAAAUAUAAUAUAUAUGCAGAAAUCAUUGUGCUACUAUCUGGAUUUGAAUCAUAAUGUAUAUUAUUGACCAAAAAACAUUGAUUCAAAUCCAUAUGUGUUAUGUUAUUAACAAACAUAAAACCAAUGAGCAGUAUAAAAUGAUAAAAACGUGACUUACAAGUAGGGACAACUAACGAUUAAAGAAGGCAUGCAACCAGCCAGAAAAAUGGUGAUCAUGUUGAUUGGUUACACUGGCUAUGACCGGACCCACCUUGAGUAAGCCAUCAGCCGACUCCAAUUACAAUUUUGAUUUCAGUAUCCGACCCCUUCACAGAAAAGGCUUGGCUUAGAAUACAGUGCUUUCAAAUGACCCUUUGAUGUGAAGUGAGCCCAAACAUAUCAUCGCCAUAACACUAUCAGAGAACAAGCUUAGUUGUGCUUUAACAACAUUUCGAAGAUCUUCAAAAACCAAAGAUUAAAAUCUGAGUAAACAAAACAACAUGAUCACGGCCAGUAUUUUCAGGUAAAAAAAAAAAGAACACAGAAAUUAACUCAUUUCAACAUUGUCACUAACGAUAGUAAAUGUUCAUAUUAUUUGUUGAGUCUCUUUCACCGUCGAAUCAGAUGGAAUCACUACUAAGCAACUCCACGAGUUGGGCUUUCUUCAUCUUUGAAAACCCUUUUAGUCCCCUUGAUUUCGCUAUGCCUCUCAGUUCCAUCAACUUCAAUGUACUCAAGUCUUUAACAGGUUCUUCCUCUUCUUCAUCAGCAUCAUCCAGAGACUCCUCCUCCUCAUCAUCUGAUAACGCAUCUAAAGUAACAUUACCAUCCUCCUCUUGAUAAAAUGAUGAUGCGUCUAGCUGCAGCUCAGAUUCUGGUUCGAGAAUAGCUGUCACAGGCUCAGGUUCGUCUUCAGGUUCAUCACGCGGCUCUGCUGUAUCCUUCUUAUGGGUCCAAGUCACGCUGUAACUCGACGCCUCAUCAAAAGUUGCCUCAUUAGAAUAAGUCGGAGGAGGCGAUUCAAAUCUUGGUACUGGCGACUUUCUUCUGAAGCUUGACGCUG
rnacentral:lncRNA from 1 species